GCUACGGGAGGCUGCAGUGAGGAAUAUUGGUCAAUGGGCGUAAGCCUGAACCAGCCAAGUCGCGUGAGGGAUGAAGGUUCUAUGGAUCGUAAACCUCUUUUAUAAGGGAAUAAAGUGCGGGACGUGUCCCGUUUUGUAUGUACCUUAUGAAUAAGGAUCGGCUAACUCCGUGCCAGCAGCCGCGGUAAUACGGUGGAUCCGAGCGUUAUCCGGUUUUAGUGGGUUUAAAGGGUGCGUAGGCGGCCUUUUAAGUCAGCGGUGAAAGCCUGUGGCUCAACCAUAGAAUUGCCGUUGAAACUGGGAGGCUUGAGUAUUUUUGAGGCAGGCGGCCUGCGUGGUGUUGCGGUGAAAUGCUUAGCUAUCCCGCAGAACCCCGAUUGCGACGGCAGCCUGCCAAGCCAUGACUGACGCUGAUGCACGAACGCGUGGGGAUCAAACAGGAUUAGAUACCCUGGUAGUC
rnacentral:rRNA from 1 species